UUAACUAUAGGCAAUGAUGUCUGCCUUGAACCGCUACUGGAGCUGAUGACGUCUACUUUGAA
rnacentral:ncRNA from 2 species